GUUGACCUCGGAUCAGGUAGGGAUACCCGCUGAACUUAAGCAUAUCAAUAAGCGGAGGAAAAGAAACCAACAGGGAUUACCUCAGUAACGGCGAGUGAAGCGGUAACAGCUCAAAUUUGAAAGCUAGCUCUUUUAGGGUUCGCAUUGUAAUUUGUAGAAGAUGCUUCGGGUGUGGCCCCGGUCUAAGUUCCUUGGAACAGGACGUCAUAGAGGGUGAGAAUCCCGUAUGUGACUGGGUGCUUUCGCUCAUGUGAAGCUCUUUCGACGAGUCGAGUUGUUUGGGAAUGCAGCUCAAAAUGGGUGGUAAAUUUCAUCUAAAGCUAAAUAUUGGCCAGAGACCGAUAGCGCACAAGUAGAGUGAUCGAAAGAUGAAAAGCACUUUGGAAAGAGAGUUAAACAGUACGUGAAAUUGUUGAAAGGGAAGCGCUUGCAACCAGACUUGCGCGCUGAUGAUCAUCCGGGCUUCUGUCCGGUGCACUCGUCUGCGCUCAGGCCAGCAUCGGUUUCGGUGGUGGGAUAAAGGCUUAGGGAAUGUAGCUCCUCUCGGGGAGUGUUAUAGCCCUAGGUGCAAUGCCGCCUACCGGGACCGAGGACCGCGCUUCGGCUAGGAUGCUGGCGUAAUGGUUGUAAGCGACCCGUC
rnacentral:rRNA from 2 species